UGCUGUGCCCUGACGGUGCUGGGACCCCUUGUGCUGGGUCACCUCUGGCCCCUGCCCCAUGGGGUAAUGCAGUUGUGCUGCUCCCUGGUAGUGCUGUGACUUCUGCCUGCUCACGCCUCUUUCUCCUGGGCUUCACUACUGGCCGUAGCAGGGGUCCUUGGCAAGCUGUGUUUGAUGCUUUGUCUCUGGGACAUCUGAGGAUGGCCCUCAGGAAGGAUGAACCAUUUUCUGGAAGUCUGCUCCCAGCUGUAGCUGCAGUCUGCAACCCUGGCACGGCUCCAUCCUGACCUUGUACUUUUUCCAUUUAAUUCCUCGCCUCCUGUGCCACGCUUCCCAGAAGAAGCUUUUGGUUUAGAAACGGGCUCCGGGCUGCCUUGGCCGGGGCUGUCCCGGGGCUCGAUGGGGAGCAAGGGAAGGUGCUGCCAGUCUACGGCUCCAUGAAGGUCACUGAAAGAUCUGUGCCCCAUUUCUGUAGCACCAAAGCACUCCUGGUGAUGUUUCAGCUGCGGGGGGCUGCGCUGAUUAAGUGAUCAGUGAAGAAAGCCAGAAGGAUCUGCCCAAAGGGAGGGCUUGAAUUCCCAUCCCCAAGCCAGCACCUAGCAGAGUGCCAGCCGCUCCCAGCCGAGCAGGCAGCCCUGUGCGUGUGGCACCAGCUUCCUGCAGCCUGCUGGCGUCUGAGCAACCCUGACUGUGUUUUGGGAGCCAGCUGGGGUCCCCUGGAGCUGCCAGGCUGCUCCUCAAGCUGGUGCAUGGCCAGGUGCCUCACUGUGGCAGGGACACGCAGCACCUCUGUCCCUUCAGCCCCUGCCAGGGUCAGCUCCAUAGCUUUCCCGAAGCAGCCCAGUCAG